rnacentral:rRNA from 1 species
GAUGAACGCUGACAGAAUGCUUAACACAUGCAAGUCAACUUGAAUUUGGGUUUUUAACUUAGAUUUGGGUGGCGGACGGGUGAGUAACGCGUAAAGAACUUGCCUCACAGCUAGGGACAACAUUUAGAAAUGAAUGCUAAUACCUGAUAUUAUGAUUUUAAGGCAUCUUAGAAUUAUGAAAGCUAUAUGCACUGUGAGAGAGCUUUGCGUCCCAUUAGUUAGUUGGAGAGGUAACAGCUCACCAAGGCGAUGAUGGGUAGCCGGCCUGAGAGGGUGAACGGCCACAAGGGGACUGAGACACGGCCCUUACUCCUACGGGAGGCAGCAGUGGGGAAUAUUGGACAAUGGACCGAGAGUCUGAUCCAGCAAUUCUGUGUGCACGAUGAAGUUUUUCGGAAUGUAAAGUGCUUUCAGUUGGGAAGAAAUAAAUGACGGUACCAACAGAAGAAGUGACGGCUAAAUACGUGCCAGCAGCCGCGGUAAUACGUAUGUCACGAGCGUUAUCCGGAUUUAUUGGGCGUAAAGCGCGUCUAGGUGGUUAUGUAAGUCUGAUGUGAAAAUGCAGGGCUCAACUCUGUAUUGCGUUGGAAACUGUAUAACUAGAGUACUGGAGAGGUAAGCGGAACUACAAGUGUAGAGGUGAAAUUCGUAGAUAUUUGUAGGAAUGCCGAUGGGGAAGCCAGCUUACUGGACAGAUACUGACGCUAAGCGCGAAAGCGUGGGUAGCAAACAGG